rnacentral:rRNA from 1 species
AACGAACGCUGGCGGCAGGCCUAACACAUGCAAGUCGAACGCCCGUAGCAAUACGGGAGUGGCAGACGGGUGAGUAACGCGUGGGAACGUGCCCUUCGGUUCGGAAUAACUCAGGGAAACUUGAGCUAAUACCGGAUACGUCCGUAAGGAGAAAGAUUUAUCGCCGAAGGAUCGGCCCGCGUCGGAUUAGCUAGUUGGUGAGGUAACGGCCCACCAAGGCGACGAUCCGUAGCUGGUCUGAGAGGANGAUCAGCCACACUGGGACUGAGACACGGCCCAGACUCCUACGGGAGGCAGCAGUGGGGAAUAUUGGACAAUGGGCGAAAGCCUGAUCCAGCCAUGCCGCGUGAGUGAAGAAGGCCUUAGGGUUGUAAAGCUCUUUCAGCGGGAAGAUAAUGACGGUACCCGCAGAAGAAGCCCCGGCUAACUUCGUGCCAGCAGCCGCGGUAAU